UUAGCUAGUUGGUAAGGUAAUGGCUUACCAAGGCAGUGAUACGUAGCCGACUUGAGAGGGUGAUCGGCCACACUGGGACUGAGACACGGCCCAGACUCCUACGGGAGGCAGCAGUAGGGAAUCUUCCACAAUGGGUGCAAACCUGAUGGAGCAAUGCCGCGUGAGUGAAGAAGGUCUUCGGAUCGUAAAGCUCUGUUGUUAGAGAAGAACACGUGCUAGGUAACUACUAGCGCCUUGACGGUAUCUAACCAGAAAGUCACGGCUAACUACGUGCCAG
rnacentral:rRNA from 1 species